rnacentral:lncRNA from 1 species
CUCCCUUUCUGCUAAUUAGUAACUGCUCUCUAUCUUCAUUUCAGAAUAACAACAUCAAUAAAUUUAAGGUUAUGAUGACUGUUCAGUUCAUUCAGUUCCUACAGUGCUGAGAUCAGUGCUCUGUAACUUCAUUAAGAGAUAGGAACGGGAAACAUGGAAAAACUCUUUUCAUACUCCCUAGCCCCUUCAUACAAAGGCUUAACAUCCACUCCACUGAAAGAGCUCAUAGUUCAUUGAAGGCAAACCUAACAAAAACCAGCAUGUAUUUAGCACACAAAAAGGCACUAAUUUAAAAAAUAAUCAAUGACAGUUCAUACUCCUCCUUAAGUGCACCCUUCUUGUUCGGUUCCUCCACGAAUGCCUCUGUUUCUUGCUCUUCUGACAUCCCAUGUAAAUAUGGAUUUAGUGGUGGUGGCCUCCAAAACGAUCCAUUUUUGAACAUACGGAAAUCUUCUGUCCUCCACUUGGUUGGAGCAUCUCCCUGAAGAAUUGAAUAAAGCUUCCAUCUAUAAUACACAUGGGCUGGAGUCUGGUUUUCAAACAGAAACCUGAACAUUGGGUUGUUGAUUUCUCGGUUCAUGAUCAUGGCUUCAAACAUGGGCCCUUCCCGUACCACAAACUCUAUCAUUCGAUGUAUCAGUGCGAGCAAAUUCCUUUCUGUUGGGAUAACCACUUUGACUAUGGCUUGCGACAGAGUCUUCUCAAAAUCUUCCUUGUUUUUUGGUGGGGGUAACAUUGGAG